rnacentral:rRNA from 1 species
GAUGAACGCUGGCGGCGUGCCUAAUACAUGCAAGUCGAGCGAACAGACGAGGAGCUUGCUCCUCUGACGUUAGCGGCGGACGGGUGAGUAACACGUGGAUAACCUACCUAUAAGACUGGGAUAACUUCGGGAAACCGGAGCUAAUACCGGAUAAUAUAUUGAACCGCAUGGUUCAAUAGUGAAAGACGGUUUUGCUGUCACUUAUAGAUGGAUCCGCGCCGCAUUAGCUAGUUGGUAAGGUAACGGCUUACCAAGGCGACGAUGCGUAGCCGACCUGAGAGGGUGAUCGGCCACACUGGAACUGAGACACGGUCAAGACUCCUACGGGAGGCAGCAGUAGGGAAUCUUACGCAAUGGGCGAAAGCCUGACGGAGCAACGCCGCGUGAGUGAUGAAGGUCUUCGGAUCGUAAAACUCUGUUAUUAGGGAAGAACAAAUGUGUAAGUAACUAUGCACGUCUUGACGGUACCUAAUCAGAAAGCCACGGCUAACUACGUG